UGUGUGUGUCUGUAUGUAUGUGUCUGUGUCUCUGUAUGUAUGUGUCUGUAUGAUACAGACACAUACAUACAGAGACAUACAUACACAUACAGACACAGACAUACUGUGUAUCAAACAUUAUUUUUGAUUGCAGCAACCUUUGUUGGUAUGCCCCCACAUAUAUAUAU